rnacentral:rRNA from 1 species
UAGUCAUAUGCUUGUCUCAAAGAUUAAGCCAUGCAUGUCUAAGUAUCAGCUGAUUCAUAGCUAAACUGCGAAUGGCUCAUUAAAACAGUUAUAGUUUGCGUGAUGAUUAUUACUACACGGAUAUCUGUGGUAAUUCUGGAGCUAAUACGUGCCUAAACACCCUACGGGUGGCGUAUAUCUAGUUCGACCAACGGUUUUUGGUGAGCCAUGGUAUAUAGCGAAUUGCACAGCUUCGGCUGGCAAUGCUUCACUUAAGUUUCUGACCUAUCAGCUGUCG